UUGGCAUAAAAGAUAUAUUAGGGAGGAAGCCUGAAGUAGGGAGAUGAAAAUAAGGAGCCAUCAAAGGCAGAAUGAAACUUAGGCAGAUUUCAAGUGAUUUUCAAAAAUGUUGUGAUCAGAGGUACCAGAUAAUAACUAUUACAUAACACUUUCUUUGUUAGGAGCUUAUUUCUCACACUGACCAAAGCUUUUGAAGUAAGUACUCUUUACACCACUAUAUAAAUAAACCUUACAAAGGAUUCUGCUUUGAGGCAUGAGAGAGUUAAGUCAUUUGCCCAAAGUCACAGAGUUAGAAAGUAAUAGAGCUAAGAUUUGAACCUAGGCAGUUUGGCUCCAGAGUCUGUGCUCUUACGCUAUAUUACCACCAAGAGGUCAAAUAAAUACCAAAGAAUGUAUUUUCGAAUUUAACAAUGAGGAACUUAAUCAUACAGGCAGAAGUAAUUCCAGAGCACUGGAGACAGAAGCCAGAUUGCCAUAUGGGUUAAAGAGUGUGUAAACCACUAGGAAGUAAAGACAUAGAACUACUCUCACAAGUGCUUUUCUGGUUAUUGUGACGCUGAACUUCAUGGCUUGUUUUAAUUAAGACAUCUUACAAGUGUCAAAAUUUGGAAAUAUUUGGACACUGUACACUCUGGUUAUUUAAAUAUCUAACAAUGGUUCUUGAGCAUUUUGAGAAACCUUUGAAAAUCUGAUGAAAGGUAUGUGCCAUUACUCUAGAAAAAUGUUCCUGUGUACAUGCACAUCAAGUAUCACAUACUGUUUCAGGCUGUUCAAAGACUACAAAGUCUGUUCAUGACCUAAUGGUCCAUGUUCCCUCAGUUAAGAGCUCCAGAGAUAAAGGAUGUGGAACUCAAAGGUAAGUACCCAGAGCCUUGAAAACUCCAUCUGUGACUUGGAAGAAUUCUACAAUUUGAAUUAACUUUGUGGAGAGAGAUAUAUUUUUGAAAAAUUGUGUGUACCAAAAAAAUUUCAUAUCAAAUAAUAUUUUCCUGUAGUGCAUUCAAGGAUCUGGUUCCACAGCAAAAAAUUGUUUUGGUCUCAGUUCCUCAAAAUCACAUUUAAGGAGCUUGAGAUUUAUAUUUUCUACUUAAUAAGUCUUACAAAAGCAAGUUAAGAAGGAAAAUGGACAAUCAUUUCUGCACAUAUAGGGUUUAAUAAAACAUGUAUAAUAAAAUAUCUCAUAUUUUAAAUUUCCACCUUAUUGGUAGCUUUCAUGACAAAGGGCUAGGGUGCUGAUGGCCAUACAAUUAAGGUUUUUGGUUAGUUAGUUAGCAGAACUAACUGACUCCUACCUGGUGGGUUUUUCUUUUGUUUGGUUGGUUGGUUGGUUGGUUUUUUCCCAGAUGGCUCAGGAGGAAGGUAAAUAGCAGUCAUUGUAUGUGUGACAGAGUUUGAGAUAGAAUGAGCAUAUUGAAUCUCACAUCCUAUUCUUAUUACUGUCAGGCAGCGUUGACCUAGCAGUAUAAAACUAUCUGAAGCAAUGUAGUCACUCAGUUCUCAUAAAGUUUAUUUCAAGUACUGUAACAAUUCAUGUUUGGAUUAGAAAAGUCACUAGAAAUUUGACUUCCAUAUAGUAAUCUAUACUUUUUUCUCUCAUUUCCUUCAUUUUUUGAGCCGUAAGUGUAAGGCAUUUUGCUGGUAUUAUUACAAUGGUUAUGAGGAGUUUCUUUGCUUGCCCAAGGUCACAUAGCUAGCAAGUUAAAGUAGAUUCAAAUCCAGGCCUGCUAGAUACCAAAUUAUUAUUUAAGAGUACUUUUCACUACUCCUAAAUAAUGACACAGAUACGUUUGUCUUACACAUUUCACUUUAUUGUCAAGUUAUUAGUAUGUUUAUUUUCAAAAGUUAUUUUUUGCAAUUUCUUUUUAUUAUUCCGUACUUUUUAAAUUUACUUCAUUAUCACGUCUUCCUUUAUUCUUUUUAAAUAGUUUUUGCUUUUGUUAUUUUGUUUUCCCUUUUUUACUCUUGGUUUGUAAUACCUCUUUCCUUAUUUGCUCCUUUCUCAUUUGAUCUCAAUGUUAAUCCAACUGUUUUCCACAUCUGAUUCACUAAAAUUUUAGCCCUUAAAAAAAAAAUUCCUGUUUUUCCUAUCUCCUUUUGUCCAUUCUCUUCUCCUUGCCUCACUUCUUUUAUCUUUUUCCAUUUUACUUUCAUUUUUUGUUUCUCUAGAUGUUGUUUUGACAUAUGAGUUAAUGUACUGGUACAAUUUUGCAUCUGUAAAUUAGAGCUUCAGAAUCAACUGAGUGUAUUUAUUCUUUAUUUUUAGGCCUAAAUUUAUCUUACCUUUUAUUGAUUUUAUAAUAUACUAUACUCUUUCAUUUUAGUCUGCAUAUGUUAGCCAAAGAAGAUAUGCCCCUGUUUUAAGAAAUCUCUGUAAAAAAUGUCAAGUGUGACAAGAAUUCUUCAAGAAACAAGCUCCUCUAGUUUGUCUUCUAUAUUUAGAGCUUCAACAGUUACCUAUAUUACUGGUAACUCCCAAAUAUACCUUCAAACUUGUUUUUUGGGCCCAAGUUUUUUGCUUCAUAUAUAUCUGUUUUGAAUAUCCCAUAAAUAAUUGCAUCUAAAGCAUACCUCCACUCCAUUGUUCUCAAAGAUAAAACCAAACCUGUGCUGCUUCUUAUAUUUCUAGUAUUUAAGCGUCACCUGCCACCCCUUUACCUGAGCUACAAGUCACGCAUUGCAUUAGACUCCUCUGCUUUCUUCUUUCACCUCUAACUAGACUAUUAACCAAAAAUUUUUUAAUAUAACUUUCAAAAGGUAUUUUAUUACAUCAUUUCCAUCCUUUAUGUUUGGGUUCAAGCCCUCAUUAACUUUAACAUGGAUUCUUGGAGUACCCUCCUUACUGAUUUUGUUACACAUGUCCCUCUUUUAGUCAGUACUACCAUGAUAAUACCAUGGAUAAUAAUUUUUUCAUUUUUAUUUUUAGUCUUGCUCUGUCGCCGAGGCUAGAGUGCAGUGGCGCGAUCUCAGCUCACUGCAACCUCCACCUCCCGGGUUCAAGUGAUUCUCCUGCCUCAGCCUACUGAGUAGCUGGGAUUACAGGCACCUGCCACAGCUCCUGGCUAAUUUUUGUAUUUUUAGUAGAGAUGGAGUUUCACCGUCUUGAACUCCUGACCUCAUGAUCCACCCUCCUCGGCCUCCCAAAGUGCUGGGAUUACAGGCAUGGGCCACUGCGCCCGGCCAAUAAUUUUUGUGUGUGUGUGUGCUAAUCAUACUACAUUUUCUUUAGAAUAAAAGAUCACAUACUUGUUUGCCAUUCGCAGUCUGGCCCCAUUGUGCCAUUCUAGACUUACCUCCUGCCACUCCCCACCAGCUUUGUUUUGUCUUAGCCACACAAAAUAAUCUAGCGUCUCUAACCAGUCAAACAUUUUACCUUGUGCCUUGGCUCACUCUGUGCCUUUUCUCCAGAAUAUCUUUCUGUGUACUUUUCUCCCAUCCUUUUACCUUUAAACCUGCUGCUAUGGUUUGCAUGUUGUUUGGCCCCUCCAAAACUCAUGUUGUAGUUCAAUUGCCAAUGUAAUAGUGUUGGGAGAUGGUACUUUUAAGAGGUAAUUAGGUUGCUAAGAUGGAUUAACAUCUUUCUCUUGACACUGAGACUGGGUUCUCCUGGGAAUGGUUAGUUCCCAAGAGAGUGAGUUGUUAUAAAACAAUGCUGCCUCUUCUAUUUUGCGCUUUUUGUUUGCACAAACUCGGUCCCCUUCUGUUUCUCUACGAUGUUUUGAUGCAGCAUGAGGCAGUCAUGAGAACCCACCAGAUACAGCUGCCUGAUCCUGAAUUUCCCAGCCAACAGAACCAAGUGCUAAAUAAAACUCUUUUUAAUAAGUU
rnacentral:lncRNA from 1 species